CGGCGGACGGGUGAGUAACACGUGGAUAACCUACCUAUAAGACUGGGAUAACUUCGGGAAACCGGGGCUAAUACCGGAUAAUAUUUUGAACCGCAUGGUUCAAAAGUGAAAGACGGUCUUGCUGUCACUUAUAGAUGGAUCCGCGCUGCAUUAGCUAGUUGGUAAGGUAACGGCUUACCGAGGCAACGAUGCAUAGCCGACCUGAGAGGGUGAUCGGCCACACUGGAACUGAGACACGGUCCAG
rnacentral:rRNA from 1 species